rnacentral:rRNA from 1 species
UACCCGAUAGUAUUAUAAUAAGGCAUCUUGUUGUAAUUAAAGCUAUGGCGGUAAGGAUGAGCGUGCGCAAGAUUAGCUAGUUGGUGAGGUAACGGCUCACCAAGGCGACGAUCUUUAGCUGAUGUGAGAGCAUGAUCAGCCACACGGGGCACUGAGACACGGGCCCGACUCCUACGGGAGGCAGCAGUGAGGAAUAUUGGUCAAUGGACGGAAGUCUGAACCAGCCAUGCCGCGUGAAGGAUGAAGGCGUUCUGCGUUGUAAACUUCUUUUAUUUAGGAAGAAACCACCGAUUUCUAUUGGUGUUGACGGUAUUAAAUGAAUAAGCACCGGCUAACUCCGUG